rnacentral:rRNA from 1 species
UACGGGGGGGGCAAGCGUUGUUCGGAAUUACUGGGCGUAAAGGGCGCGUAGGCGGCUUUGUAAGUUAGAGGUGAAAGCCCGGGGCUCAACUCCGGAAUUGCCUUUAAGACUGCAUCGCUCGAAUUGUGGAGAGGUAAGUGGAAUUCCGAGUGUAGAGGUGAAAUUCGUAGAUAUUCGGAAGAACACCAGUGGCGAAGGCGACUUACUGGACACAUAUUGACGCUGAGGUGCGAAAGCGUGGGGAGCAAACAGG